rnacentral:rRNA from 2 species
UCGCGUAGUCUGGCCAUGACGUGUAGGAGGGUCGUCCCCCCUGCGUUGAAGGCUUUGGGCGUGGGCCCGGCCGGAGCUUCCACCAGUGCAGAUCUUGGUGGUAGUAGCAAAUAUUCAAGUGAGAUCCUUGAAGACUGAAGUGGAGAAGGGUUCCACGUGAACAGCAGUUGAAUGUGGGUCAGCCGAUCCUAAGGCACCGGCUAACGCCGUAACACACUACGGAUGACGACUUUUCUGUGCUUGCGCAGUUGGUCCAUCCGGUUGCCGAAAGGGAAGUGGGUUAACAUUCCCACGCCAGGCUAGGGAAAUGACGGUUCGCAAGAGCUGUUUUGCGCGGUAACGCAAAUGAACUCGCAGACGUCGUGUGGAGUCCGAGCCAGAGUUCUCUUUUCUGGUUUAGGGUGUGCGUGCCUGGAAGUGGCUCAGCCUGAGAUAGGGAUGUUGCGCCCGUAAAGCACCACGGUUCCUGUGGUGUCUCGUGCGCUCCACACGGCCCUUGAAAAUGCGAGGGAAGCUAUUUGAAUCUCCUGCCUGAUCGUACCGAUAUCCGCAGCAGGUCUCCAAGGUGAACAGCCUCUAGUCGAUAGAAUAAUGUAGGUAAGGGAAGUCGGCAAAUUAGAUUCGUAACUUCGGGAAAAGAAUUGGCUCUAAAGGUCGGGUCAGCCGGGCUGUUGCGUGAAACAGGCGGCUUUUGCCCGUGGCUGUGUGCUGUUCUUUCGGGGAUGGUGCGUGGACUAGUGGUGAGAGCUGCUUGUGGAGCGCUUCAGCUGCGUGUAUGCUCGUCAGGGUAUGCACUUCGGUUGGCGCUGAACGACCAGUNUAGAACUGGCACGACUUCGGGGAAUCCGACUGUCUAAUAAAACAGAGGAGACGGAUGGUCCUUGUGGACGUUGACCGUGUCUGAUUUCUGCCCAGUGCUCUGAAUGUUAAGCCAAGGAAACUUGAUUAAGCGCGGGUAAACGGCGGGAGUAACUAUGACUCUCUUAAGGUAGCCAAAUGCCUCGUCGGCUAACUACCGACGCGCACGAAUGGAUCAACGAGAUUCCCACUGUCCCUAUCUACUAUCUAGCGAAACCACAGCCAAGGGAACGGGCUUGGCAAAUUUAGCGGGGAAAGAAGACCCUGUUGAGCUUGACUCUAGUCUGACUUUGUGAAGAAUCAUGAGAGGUGUAGCAUAAGUGGGAGCCGCAAGGCGCCAGUGAAAUACCACUACUUUCAUCGAUUCCUUACUUAAUCGGUAAAACGGGAGUGCGCCCGAAAGGGUGUCCAUUUUGGUGUUAAGUCGGGCCACCCGGUGGCCCGGCGACCCGCGCCGAUGACAGUGUCAGGCGGGGAGUUUGACUGGGGCGGUACAUCUGUCAAAGCGUAACGCAGGUGUCCUAAGGCAAGCUCAGAGAGGACGGAAACCUCUCGUAGAGCAAAAAGGCAAAUGCUUACUUGAUCCUGAUUUUCAGUACGAAUACGGACCGCGAAAGCGUGGCUUAUCGAUCCUUUUGAAUGUGUAAAGUUUCCAGCAAGAGGUGUCAGAAAAGUUACCACAGGGAUAACUGGCUUGUGGCGGCCAAGCGACGAUAGCGACGUCGCUUUUUGAUCCUUCGAUGUCGGCU